rnacentral:rRNA from 1 species
AAUACCGCAUACGUCCUACGGGAGAAAGCAGGGGAUCUUCGGACCUUGCGCUAAUAGAUGAGCCUAAGUCGGAUUAGCUAGUUGGUGGGGUAAAGGCCUACCAAGGCGACGAUCUGUAGCGGGUCUGAGAGGAUGAUCCGCCACACUGGGACUGAGACACGGCCCAGACUCCUACGGGAGGCAGCAGUGGGGAAUAUUGGACAAUGGGGGGAACCCUGAUCCAGCCAUGCCGCGUGUGUGAAGAAGGCCUUAUGGUUGUAAAGCACUUUAAGCGAGGAGGAGGCUACUUUAGUUAAUACCUAGAGAUAGUGGACGUUACUCGCAGAAUAAGCACCGGCUAACUCUGUGCCAGCAGCCGCGGUAAUACAGAGGGUGCGAGCGUUAAUCGGAUUUACUGGGCGUAAAGCGUGCGUAGGCGGCUUAUUAAGUCGGAUGUGAAAUCCCCGAGCUUAACUUGGGAAUUGCAUUCGAUACUGGUGAGCUAGAGUAUGGGAGAGGAUGGUAGAAUUCCAGGUGUAGCGGUGAAAUGCGUAGAGAUCUGGAGGAAUACCGAUGGCGAAGGCAGCCAUCUGGCCUAAUACUGACGCUGAGGUACGAAAGCAU